rnacentral:rRNA from 1 species
GUGGGGAAUAUUGCACAAUGGGCGCAAGCCUGAUGCAGCCAUGCCGCGUGUGUGAAGAAGGCCUUCGGGUUGUAAAGCACUUUCAGCGAGGAGGAAGGUGGUGAGCUUAAUACGCUCAUCAAUUGACGUUACUCGCAGAAGAAGCACCGGCUAACUCCGUGCCAGCAGCCGCGGUAAUACGGAGGGUGCAAGCGUUAAUCGGAAUUACUGGGCGUAAAGCGCACGCAGGCGGUUUGUUAAGUCAGAUGUGAAAUCCCCGGGCUCAACCUGGGAACUGCAUUUGAAACUGGCAAGCUAGAGUCUCGUAGAGGGGGGUAGAAUUCCAGGUGUAGCGGUGAAAUGCGUAGAGAUCUGGAGGAAUACCGGUGGCGAAGGCGGCCCCCUGGACGAAGACUGACGCUCAGGUGCGAAAGCGUGGGGAGCAAACAGGAUUAGAAACCCCAGUAGUCC